CACUGUAAACAAUUUCUGUUGUUUUCACAGUAUUAUUGCUGUAUUAUCAGAGAAAGCUUACUGUAGAAACAGUUUACAGUAAGUUGCUGUCAAUUUUAUAACUUUUGCAGUAUUAUUGCUGUAUUUCCAGCUUUGUCUUACUGUAGAAACUAUUUACAGGACAGUUGCUGUCAAUUUAUGCUAUUCUUUGAAAAAAAAAAAAAUAGAGUGGGAAAAUAAUUACAGUAAUCCUUAUAUUACUGUUAAAUUGAUGACAGUAAUAAUCCAACUUACAAGGAAUUUUAUUUAUUAAUUAUAUAUUUAUUUAUAAGGAAUUUUAUAAUACAUCGUUUCAUAUGGUAACCCAUAUAUUAAGGCAUUUGGCAUAUAGUUAAAAAAAGCUGAAUGAUUUAUGUGGGUGUUUUUUAAUUGCGUAUCUUCAUGGUUGCCAGAUUUUGACACAAAACCCACCUAAUCUCAUAGGUUAUAGCCAACAAUUUUGUGAGUGGGAGGUAGUUGUAGAGAUGUAGAUGUCAAAAAUAUAGGCUAGGUAAAUAGAUAAAAUCAAUUCCCAUGAUAUAUUUUUAAUAUUAUUAUUUUGCUUUCUAUUAAACACACUAAUUACAUAAAGAGCGGAAUCGUACGCGAUAUACCUGGCAACCAAUCGUCUAAACCGUCAGCCUGCACUCAUUUUCCAAUUCAUUUUCUGAGCCUUUGAGGAUGAACAAGACCAACGAGAACCAGUCAGGUAAAAAUCAUUGAAGUCACCAGAUGUGGAUGGCGUGUAUGUUGUUCGACAUUGCAGCGUGCUGAUGAGUUAAUAAAGAGGCAGCAAAAACCUGGGAUCUGCAUUGGCCCUGUCAAGUCUGGAGAGUGUUUUUACCAUUUAAUGAAUUCAAUUGUAAUAAAAGUUUUUAAAUGGA